UACGAAGGGGGCUAGCGUUGCUCGGAUUGACUGGGCGUAAAGGGCGCGUAGGCGGAUAGUACAGUCAGGCGUGAAAUUCCUGGGCUCAACCUGGGGGCUGCGUUUGAUACGUAUUGUCUGGAGUUCGGAAGAGGGUCGUGGAAUUCCCAGUGUAGAGGUGAAAUUCGUAGAUAUCGGGAGGAACACCAGUGGCGAAGGCGGCUCUCUGGGCAGAUACUGACGCUGAGACGCGAAAGCAUGGGGAGCAAACAGG
rnacentral:rRNA from 1 species